AAAUCAUUAAUAACGAUUGUGGCAAUCAGAUCUACAAUAUAAGCUCAAGAAGCUAGAGGGGGAGAAUCAAGCAAAAGCAAAGGAAAGAACAUCGAAUAGCCGAGUUGGAACCAUUUUACCCAACACAAGGUCUCUUGGACUCGU